rnacentral:lncRNA from 1 species
CCCCCCCCCCCCCCCCCCCCCCCCCCCCCCCCCCCCCCCCCCCCCCCCCCCCCCCCCCCCCCCCCCCCCCCCCCCCCCCCCCCCCCCCCCCCCCCCCCCCCUUCCUUUUUUUUUUUUUUUUUUUUUUUUUUUUUUUUUUUUUUUUUGUUCUUUGUAAUAAAAACCACCAAUGUAAUGAAAACUUUACAUUUGCAGAAACAGCUUGAGAACUUGUGUAGCCUGACUUUUCUAGUGGAUCAAUCUCUUCAAAAACAAGAUCAAUGGAGCAUCCAUGUCAUUGCAAAGGUAGAAGUGACGUUUUCACCCUGCCUGGAAUAAAGCAAGAGCAGUGCGUGUGUCCGUGCUGAGCUUUACCCGCCCUGGCGUGACUGCAGAUCCUGUCCUGUCCCACCCCAUCAUCCCGAGCGAACAGCCUCCGGCCCAUUU